UACGUAGGGAGCAAGCGUUGUCCGGAUUUAUUGGGCGUAAAGCGCUCGUAGGCGGUUCGGUAAGUCGGGUGUGAAAACUCUGGGCUCAACCCGGAGAGGCCACCCGAUACUGCCGUGACUGGAGUCUGGUAGGGGAGCACGGAAUUCCUGGUGUAGCGGUGAAAUGCACAGAUAUCAGGAGGAAUACCGAUGGCGAAGGCAGGUCUCUGGGCUGACACUGACGCUCAUGCACGAAAGCGUGGGGAGCAAACAGG
rnacentral:rRNA from 1 species